UACAGAGGGUGCAAGCGUUAAUCGGAAUUACUGGGCGUAAAGCGUGCGUAGACGGUUGCGUAAGUCAGAUGUGAAAGCCCCGGGCUCAACCUGGGAAUUGCAUUUGAGACUGCGUAGCUAGGGUGCGGAAGAGGGAAGCGGAAUUUCCGGUGUAGCGGUGAAAUGCGUAGAUAUCGGGAGGAACACCAGUGGCGAAGGCGGCGACCUGGGCCAAUACUGACGCUGAGGUGCGAAAGCGUGGGGAGCAAACAGG
rnacentral:rRNA from 1 species